UCCCUGCUGGCUCAGCUGGUAAGGAAUCUGUCUGCCAUGCAGGAGACCUGGGUUCGAUCCCUAAGUGGGGAA
rfam:Ovis aries breed Texel chromosome 1, whole genome shotgun sequence.